UGACCUCGAACGGUAAGGAGCCAGGCAAGGGGAGUGCCUUAAGUAGGCUAGGGGUAGAAAACCAGCACCUCCCACAAAUGCAGGCAAAUUGCCUUAAUCCAUAUGUAUAUAUAUAUAUAUAUAUAUAUAUAUUUUUUUUUUUAAUUGGGGUAGCUCCCAAAAUAUUGGGACAUGUUCCGCAGAGUAGCUGUUGACAUUAUAGUUGCGCAGGCACUUUGUUGACUCUAGAGAACCUCGGGCCAAUCGCACAUCCUCAUGACGGCGACUUUGCAUUCGGAUGUCAUCCAUAUCAACUUUCGAUGCCAGUUCUGUGCCUACCAUGGUGACCACAGGUAACGGGGAAUCAGGGUUCCAUUCCGUACAGGGACCCUGAGAAACGGCUACCACAUGCAAGGAAGGCAGCAGGCGCACAAAUGACCCACUCCCGACGCGGGAAGAUAGUGACGACAAAUAACAAUACAGGACUCUUUAGAGGCCCUGUAAUUGUAAUGAGUCCGCUUGAAAUCCUUUAACUCUGAUCAAUUGGAGGGAAGUCUGGUGCAGAGCCACUGACCCGUGCGUGCUGCAGCUGAAACUCCACUA